ACAAGCUAUGCCAUUUUACACCAAAAAUAACCCUGGGUGCAUUUUCAAUACUUUCUCGAUUUCCAGUGUGAGUCUGAUUUGCUAUAAUGGAUCUAUCUAUUUGGGAUUUCUAAAACUUUUUUAUUGCUUUUGCUUUUAAGCAAAUAAUGGCACGAGUGUGGUUGGUUUAUCUGAUUGGUAUUGGUAUUGGUUUGUUAUUAUUAAGCACUUAAGGUGAACUGCAUAUUGACAUCAAGACAGCAAUUGAAUGAUUUCAGCAUC